GAUGAACGCUAGCGGCAGGCCUAACACAUGCAAGUCGAGCGGGAUUAAUUGGUAGCUUGCUACUGAUUAUGAGAGCGGCGCACGGGUGCGUAACGCGUAUGCAACCUACCCUGUACUGAGGGAUAGCCCAGAGAAAUUUGGAUUAACCCCUCAUAGUAUUAUUGAAAGCAACCUUUUAAUAAUUAAGGGUUACGGUCCAGGAUGGGCAUGCGUCCUAUUAGCUAGUUGGUACGGUAACGGCGUACCAAGGCGACGAUAGGUAGGGGGCCUGAGAGGGUGGUCCCCCACACUGGUACUGAGACACGGACCAGACUCCUACGGGAGGCAGCAGUGAGGAAUAUUGGUCAAUGGGCGCAAGCCUGAACCAGCCAUGCCGCGUGCAGGAAGAAUGCCCUAUGGGUUGUAAACUGCUUUUAUUUGGGAAUAAACCUCCUUACGUGUAGGGAGCUGAAGGUACCAAAUGAAUAAGCACCGGCUAACUCCGUGCCAGCCGCCGCCGUAAAAC
rnacentral:rRNA from 1 species